GCCUCGCCUCGCCUCCCCUCCCGCCCGGGUGCCGCCGAGCCGAGGCGUCGGGCGGGCAGCGGGCGGGCGGCCGCGCCAUGAGCGCCGAGUGCAGCAGUUACCUCAACGCCGACAAGGUGCUGGUGAGCGGGUUCAGCUGCCCGCGGGCGGGCGGCGACGCCCGCGCCGUGUUCUGCUGCGGCUUCCAGGACGUCAAGUACUGCUGCGAUGAUCCCCACAGCUUCUUCCCCUACGAGCACAGCUAUAUGUGGUGGCUCAGUGUUGGAGCACUCGUGGGCCUGUCAAUAGCAGCAGUGGUCCUCUUUGCUUUUAUCAUCACUGUGUGUGUUCUCUGUUAUUUGUUUAUCAGCACCAAGCCACGCAGCAAACUGGAUACUGGUCUGAGCUUACAGACGGCAGACAGUGAGGCCAGAGGGAGUUCAGUAUGUUAAAGACAGAGGCACUGAAUGGAUUCUAUCAACGUUAUGAAGAGGGGGUUGAAAGCUCAUGGCUGAACAGCCACAGAAUGUGAGAAUAGCUGCAGAUCAGCAAUGUCUGUCACAAGAGAAAUAAGUGGUCCUGUUUGCUCAGCAGUUGUUUUCAGAUGAGCAGGAAAAUACAGAGCUGCAUCCUCCACAAAAGCCCCACCAAAACAAGCUGUUGGCAAAGCCAAGUGACUUCAAGAGAUUUCCUAAGCCACAAGGACAGACUGCGACUGUAAGCCACGAGAACCCAAUUCACUCUUCCAGAGGUGUUUCCUGGCUCUUACAACCACUAUCGAUAACCAGAGGCCAAUCUGAAGCUGUGCUAGGAUGUUUGUGUACAGUUGCUGUACUGAGAAGUUGUGUGUUUUGAUUUGCAUAUCAGCUACUGCUGUCAGUCAUUUUCAUGCAAGUUGUUGUCUCUAUCCUGUGCAAAUCCAGUGAGAUAACACAGUUGUCAAGCAGAGCAGAAUUUGGCACACCAUGUUGACCCAGCUUUAUUUUAAGCUUUCCCCGUGUGCCAUCUCAGUGUGGUGUCUUCAUGUCUUGAACAUGGUUGUCUUUUGCCAAAUGUGACUGACUGUUCAAUGCACAAACAAAUGUGAAUGCAGUACCUCAAUAAAAUCUGGCAUUUGUGUUGUAUUUUUCUUAAUUUAUCAUUCUCCCCACUUCUGUUUUCUCAGAAGAUUCUUUUGAAUCUUGAAAUUAUUUUCAUGGGAAAUUUUUUUAACAAAAGGUGGAGUUAAUAAAGAAUUUACUUUUUUAGGGAAAUUUAGAUUUUAACAGCUGUUUUCACUGGGAUUGGUAUACACUGAAAUUAAUUGAAAUAAACAUCCAAAAUUGUUUUGCAGAUUCUUCAUCAAAACAUGUUGGAAUAUUUCUUAGGAAGCAAACUAAAAUUUUCCAGUAGUAUUUCAGUUUGGAGCACUAAUUUGUGAAGUGUUGAACUUCCUUCAGGUAAUCAAAGAGCUCUAAUUGCACAUUUUAUUUCCCCAGAAGUCUCAGGAACAGCCAACACAGUCUUAACUGUCAUAUUUGAGUUGUCAAUUCUUUCAAGCUUUCAGUCUUGAAAUCAUGAACAUUAAUCAUAAUGAUUUCUUUUCAUCUUGUGAGGGUUCUUUAAGGUGAGUGAUCAAAAGAAUUUCAAAACUAUUUAACCAUGCUGUUGAUAUUAAGGCAGUAGACAGAUUUUACCUUCCAUUUGCAGAUGAAGCCUAAAACAUUUACCUAACAUGUCAGUUUUGUCUGUGGUUAUACUUCAACUUGUUAAGACAAAAUCCUUGUCUACUGCUGGGAGUCACAUCUUUUUGUGUUAUAGUGCUUGAAAUUUAAAUUCUGUAGCUGUCUGGUACUGUGCAUCAAAACCCCAAAGUGCUUCUGUCUCAUCUGCUCUUGUGUGAAAUAAUCGACCAGUGCCUCCUAUUGAAGUAGAGAAUGUGUUGUAUGUUCUUCCAAUAGCUGUAUGUCUGUAUAUAAUAACUCAUUAAACUAUUUGCCACCAUGGACUUGGAGAGAAUUGAAACCACACUGGAUGCAUAAAGAAAAUGUUUUUAUAACAACAGAACAUAAACCU